rnacentral:rRNA from 1 species
UACGGAGGGAGCUAGCGUUGUUCGGAAUUACUGGGCGUAAAGCGCACGUAGGCGGCCAUGAUAGUCAGAUGUGAAAGGCCUGGGCUUAACCCGGGAACUGCAUUUGAUACUGCAUGGCUAGAGUCCAAGAGAGGGUAGUGGAAUUCCCAGUGUAGAGGUGAAAUUCGUAGAUAUUGGGAAGAACACCAGUGGCGAAGGCGGCUACCUGGCUUGGAACUGACGCUCAGGUGCGAAAGCGUGGGGAGCGAACAGG